rnacentral:rRNA from 1 species
AAACGACUCUCGGCAACGGAUAUCUCGGCUCUCGCAUCGA